rnacentral:misc_RNA from 1 species
GAUGAAGAACGUAGCGAAAUGCGAUAAGUAAUGUGAAUUGCAGAAUUCAGUGAAUCAUCGAGUCUUUGAACGCACAUUGCGCCCCCUGGUAUUCCGGGGGGCAUGCCUGUCCGAGCGUCAUUGCUGCCCUCAAGCACGGCUUGUGUGUUGGGCCUCCGUCCUCCUCCCGGGGGACGGGCCCGAAAGGCAGCGGCGGCACCGCGUCCGGUCCUCGAGCGUAUGGGGCUUCGUCACCCGCUCUUGUAGGCCCCGCCGGCGCUUGCCGACACAUCAAUCUUUUUUCCAGGUUGACCUCGGAUCAGGUAGGGAUACCCGCUGAACUUAAGCAUAUCAAUAAGCGGAGGA